rnacentral:misc_RNA from 1 species
GAUGAAGAACGUAGCGAAAUGCGAUACGUAAUGUGAAUUGCAGAAUUCAGUGAAUCAUCGAAUCUUUGAACGCAUAUUGCGCUCUCUGGUAUUCCGGAGAGCAUGCUUGUUUGAGUAUCAGUAAACACCUCAACUCCCUUUUCUUUUUUGAAAUUGGAGCUGGACUUGAGUGAUCCCAACGCUUUCUUCCAAGAAAGUGGCGGGUUGCUUGAAAUGCAGGUGCAGCUGAACUUUUCUCUGAGCUAUAAGCAUAUCUAUUUAGUCUGCCUAAAAAACAGAUUAUUACCUUUGCUGCAGCUAACAUAAAGGAGACUAGUUCUUGUGCUGACUGAUGCAGGAUUCACAGAGACAGCUUCGGCUGACUUUGUAAACUCGAUCUCAAAUCAAGUAAGACUACCCGCUGAACUUAAGCAUAUCAAAAAGCGGAGGA